rnacentral:rRNA from 1 species
UAAGGAAUCUUCCGCAAUGGGCGCAAGCCUGACGGAGCGACGCCGCGUGCAUGAUGAAGCCCUUCGGGGUGUAAAAUGCUUUUCUCCGGGACGACAAAAAGACGGUACCGGGGGAAGAAGCCUCGGCUAACUACGUGCCAGCAGCCGCGGUAAUACGUAGGAGGCGAGCGUUGUCCGGAAUCACUGGGCGUAAAGCGCGUGUAGGCGGGGGGGGAAGUCUGCUGUGAAAGCGCCGGGCUUAACUCGGCGAGGUCGGCGGAAACUCUCCUCCUGGAGGCCGGUAGAGGGGGGUGGAAUUCCCGGUGUAGUGGUGAAAUGCGUAGAGAUCGGGAGGAACACCCGUGGCGCAGGCGGCCCCCUGGGCCGGGCCUGACGCUGAGACGCGAAAGCGUGGGGAGCGAACGGGAUUAGAUACCCCUGUAGUCC